AGAAUCAACGCUGGCGGCGUGCCUAACACAUGCAAGUCGCACGAGAAAGGGUAGCAAUACCUGAGUACAGUGGCGCACGGGUGAGUAACACGUGAAUAAUCUACCUCCGAGUGGGGAAUAACUGAGAGAAAUCUUAGCUAAUACCGCAUAAUACCCACGGGUCAAAGCAGCAAUGCGCUUGGAGAGGAGUUCGCGGCAGAUUAGUUAGUUGGCGGGGUAAUGGCCCACAAGACGAUGAUCUGUA
rnacentral:rRNA from 1 species